GGAAGUUUUCUGCUUCCUGUGGUCCUUCCCCAGGUCUACUGGCAGUCCUCCCAAAGGAACCCUGUGAGAUGAAGUCAGAAAUAGCUUCCCUGGGGACCAAGAGUCCUGUUGGACCAGCUCUUCUCACUGCUUCUUCUGCUUUUAUAUUUCACUUGGCUCUCUAAAUUUGUUUCAGCUUUAGUAUGUUCCUGCAGUAUGUCUUGGAGCAAAAGUUCAUAAUGUGAGUCUCCACAUGUGGUUCUGUUAAUCUGAGUGGGAGCUACAAAUAUUUAUUGCCAUCAUAAAUGGAAUCUUCCAUCAUAUCUUCUAACUAGUUGUUGCUUGAUGGACAUGCGUCUUGUGACUAUGAGGUGACAAUGAUGUUAAUGACAUCUGAGUGGAAAGAAGAUGAAGCCUAGAUUCCUGAACACAUUCAGACCUGCCACAGCAACCUAGCUCUGAACUCCCUUCAAAAUUUCACUCUUGUGGCCCAGGCUGGAGUGCAAUGGCGUGAUCUCAGCUCACUGCAACUUCUACCUCUCGGAUUCAAGUGAUUCUCCUGCCUCAGCCUCCCAGGUAGCUGGGUUUACAGGAAUGAAAUGGACGUUCUUACUCAUCAUACCAUAAGCAUCCAGGUGAAUGAUUGCUCACUUCUUUCAUCUAAUGAGGAAUUGGCUUUCUUGAGAAUCUCAAUGCAGUGUACCUCCAACCUUAACAGACUGCUGUAAAACACCCUGACCAUUCUUUAGUAUAAGCACUGAAGAAGACAGUAUGUUGACCACGAGGCACCUGGCCUGGCUCAUAGUAUGCCAUCAAGAAAUGCUAAUUUUCUAUUUCCUCUUUUUCAAAGAGUUAUUUCAAGAAAGAAAGGAGAGGAGAGGAUGUUACAAAUUCCAUGUAAAUAAAAUUUGUCACUAAUUCUGUGAACUAAUUGAUAUCAUAAUUUGAUUCUCUUACCUCUUUUUAAUCUCUCUAUUAGUCCAUUUUUAUGCUGUGAAUAAAGACAUACCUGAGACUGGGCAAUUUACAAAAGAA
rnacentral:lncRNA from 10 species